GCCCGGGUGGUGAAAUUGGUAGACACAGCAGACUUAAAAUCUGCCGACUGAAUAAGUCGUGCCGGUUCGAUUCCGGCUCCGGGCA
rnacentral:tRNA from 1 species